rnacentral:tRNA from 1 species
GCCUGGAAGGCUCAGUCGGUGGAGCGUGUGACUCUUGAUCUCAGGGUCGUGAGUUCAAGCCCCAUGUUGGGCA